rnacentral:lncRNA from 1 species
UCUGGAAGGCUUGCUUGUCCUUCAGAUAAUCCUGGAGGACAAGUACUUCUUCAGGCUGUUUGCUUGGAGCUUUCCCCGAAGCAACCAAACUGGAGCACCUGCCCUGCGAUGGCCGUAGCUGUGCCCUCAGCCUUGCUUCACGAUGAGGAAUGAUGGUGACUACCUGGCACUGCUAUUAUGUCGUGCCACUGGACAGGGAGGCCUGUGUUGGGAGCUGCCAGGAGCCAUUGUGAGCAGGCAAGUUUGAGAUAUCUGACCACAGUGAGGGCCCUAAGUUCUCCAAGAGGGUGGCUGAGACUCCUAGUCCUGGAUGAUCUGCUUCUUGUCUCUUACUGGGCAUGAGAACCCUGAACCAGAACAGAGAAUUCUAGGGACACGUGUUUCCUUUGGCCUGAACCCUCUGAUAGCCAACACCCACCUGGCACCUCACUCCUGGGGCCUCUGCCGUACACUUCUGAGUACGGGGUCUCUGACAACUUCACAUUACCUACCAUCAUUUCCUCUGUGACCUUUACAGUUGUCAAAUGAGCUUAUGGUCUUUUUUUUUUUCCCUCUAGUCCUUUGCCUCUGGAGUGAAAUAAAG